rnacentral:rRNA from 1 species
AUGGGUUCAAAUGCAAACUUGAAAAAGAUGGGAGAAGCAAUGCUUGAUAAGUUUGAUAAAUAUUGGGAUAGCAAUAGUGAAGGUGAGGGAAAUGAAAACAGUGGGAAAAACAAAAGGAAGGAAAAGAACAAUGUCAUGGUCAUUGCCACCAUUCUUGAUCCUAGGUUUAAGAUGAAACUUGUUGAUUACUGUUUUAAGAAAAUGUAUGGUAAAGAGAAGGGCAGUAGUGAGGCCGAGGAAAUCAAAUCUGAAUUCUUUGAUCUCUAUGCUACUUAUGAGAUGGAAAAUCGCAAGAAUGAGGCUGGCAACAAUAAUGAACAGAGUUCAAUAUCUAGUAGGCAAACAAGUACAUCUAUGUCCUCAUUGUCAAGUGGGUUUCAAUCCUUCCUAGAGGAGACAAAUUCAGAGCCAUCUAAAUCUGAAUUGACCAGUUACCUUGAAGACAAAACCCAUCCAAUUCUGGAUCCAAAGUUCAGCGUAGUUGAUUGGUGGAGGUUGAAUGCUCAUAGAUAUCCUAUCAUGGCAAAGAUGGCAAAGAAGUUCUUGACCAUACCAGCAACUAGUGUCUCAUCAGAGUCAACAUUCUCUGCAAGCGGCAGAAUUCUUGAUGACUAUCGUAGCUCUCUCAGCCCAAACAUGGUUGAGGCACUUGUGUGUGCUUCUAGCUACAUUAAAGGAUCAAAAGAAAACCAACUUAAGCCUACAAUUGUAGUGGUAAUAUUACUUGUUCUC